GACGAACGCUGGCGGCGUGCUUAACACAUGCAAGUCGAACGGAAAGGCCCUGCUUUUGUGGGGUGCUCGAGUGGCGAACGGGUGAGUAACACGUGAGUAACCUGCCCUUGACUUUGGGAUAACUUCAGGAAACUGGGGCUAAUACCGGAUAGGAGCUCCUGCUGCAUGGUGGGGGUUGGAAAGUUUCGGCGGUUGGGGAUGGACUCGCGGCUUAUCAGCUUGUUGGUGGGGUAGUGGCUUACCAAGGCUUUGACGGGUAGCCGGCCUGAGAGGGUGGCCGGCCACAUUGGUACUGAGAUACGGCCCAGACUGCUACGGGAGGCAGCGGUGGGGAAUAUUGCACAAUGGGCCGAAGCCUGAUGCAGCAACGCCGCGUGCGGGAUGACGGCCUUCGGGUUGUGAACCGCUUUCGCCUGUGACGAAGCGUGAGUGACGGUAAUGGGUAAAGAAGCACCGGCUAACUACGUG
rnacentral:rRNA from 1 species